rnacentral:rRNA from 1 species
ACGGGAGGCAGCAGUAGGGAAUCUUCCGCAAUGGACGAAAGUCUGACGGAGCAACGCCGCGUGAGUGAUGAAGGUUUUCGGAUCGUAAAGCUCUGUUGUUAGGGAAGAACAAGUGCGAGAGUAACUGCUCGCACCUUGACGGUACCUAACCAGAAAGCCACGGCUAACUACGUGCCAGCAGCCGCGGUAAUACGUAGGUGGCAAGCGCUGUCCGGAAUUAUUGGGCGUAAAGGGCUCGCAGGCGGUUUCUUAAGUCUGAUGUGAAAGCCCCCGGCUCAACCGGGGAGGGUCAUUGGAAACUGGGAAACUUGAGUGCAGAAGAGGAGAGUGGAAUUCCACGUGUAGCGGUGAAAUGCGUAGAGAUGUGGAGGAACACCAGUGGCGAAGGCGACUAUCUGGUCUGUAACUGACACUGAGGCGCGAAAGCGUGGGGAGCAAACAGGAUUAGAUACCCUGGUAGUCCACGCCGUAAACGAUGAGUGCUAAGUGUUAGGGGGUUUCCGCCCCUUAGUGCUGCAGCUAACGCAUUAAGCACUCCGCCUGGGGAGUACGGUCGCAAGACUGAAACUCAAAGGAAUUGAC